rnacentral:lncRNA from 1 species
UGUUGCUAAUAACGAAUUUGGCCCCCAAAAUUUUUUGAAAUUAACGAAAAUUCGUUAUUUUCUAAAUUAAUUCGUUAAUGGCGGACGCGCAUGCGCGGUGGCCCAAAAACAGCCCGAAGGGGGGGACUUAGGGGGCUCUCCCGCCCUCAUUUUUUGAGUGAUCUUCUUCAAACUUGGUACAGUGGUAGAACACAUUUAACACUGAUAGCUCACCAAAAUGUGGAAUGUUUCCCUUAUCCUCUGAUUUUUGGCAAAUUUUCAUAGCUUUUAUAAUAAACCAUUUUUUAAUAAUUGCAGAAAUCUGUUCCUGGUUUGAAAGUCUUAUUUCCUGUUAAAUUGGGUUGUCUUUACUGUGAAAGUCAUUGUUCUACUUCAGAAACUUUGUUUUUGUGGCUGAAACUUUGUUAAAUUGGUGUGUGUGUGAUAUAUAUUGUGUAUAUAUAUAUAUAUAGUCCCUGCUUGUGUGUGUGUGUGUGUGUGUGUGUGUGUGUGUGUGUAGGUAAAGGUAAAGGUAUCCCUUGACGUUAAGUUCAGUCAUGUCUGACUCUGGGGGUUGGUUCUCAUCUCCAUUUCUAAGCCCAAGAGCCAGUGUUGUCCAUAGACACCUCCAAGGUCAUGUGGCCGGCAUGACUACAUGGAGUGCCAUUACCUUCCCAGAAACACCCAGAAAAUGGGAAUUCCAGACAGGAAACAAUCAGGGCCAGCUAAUACCUCCCAACAAAGGAUUCCCCCAGGUAGGAAGCAGCCAGGCUUUGAAGCUGCAAGGCUAUUCAAUGCUAAUCAAGGUGACCAAUUGCAACAUUCACACUUGCCUCCCACAGACAAGAGUUCUUUCUCCCACCCUAGACCUUCCACAGAUAUAUAAACCCCACUUGCCUAGCUUCGCACAGACGUCAAAACCUCUAUGUCUGCCACAGAUGUGGGUGAAACGUCAGGAGAGAAUGCUUCUGGCACAUGGCCAUAGAGCCCGGAAUACAUACCACAACAGUGUGAUCCCGGCCAUGAAAGCUUUCGACAACACAACCACAAAAUAAGAAAAAACGGCCUCUCGCGAUUCGAAACCGCGAUAUCCAGACGUGUGGACAACCAAGGUUCUAUAUUGCUUCAAAACAAACGAAAAUAACGAAUUAAUAACGGGUAACGGGAAAAUCGAAUUAUUUGAGCAAGCCUACUAAUUGUAAAGUAAAGAGGACGGGCAGAUAACAUUGCAUUAAAAAUAGAGAAGUCAUCUCCUCAGAUAAAGGACAGGAAAAACAUGGUUUUGUUAUGCUCAGUUAGUUUACCAUGACAGUAGUAAUAGUAACUGUUUUGUGAAAAAACAAACUGAUUGUAUAUAGCACGCCAAUGUUAAAUUUACUUUAAAUAAUUAAAUACCCCCAAUUUAAUUAGACUUUUUUUUCUAAAAUAAAUAAAUAGGAAGUAAAUGUCAUACUACUUGCAGCAUGGCUCAAAAAGAACUCCCACAAUGUAGCCUUUAACAUCCUAAGAUUGAGCAACAGAUAAAUCGUCCAUAUUGUAAAUGAAAAGGUAGCCUUUUAAUAGAAUUUUUUAUUUAUGGACAAAUAGAGUCAAUCCCAUUGCCCUAUAGUUCACAGAAAAAUAUUUUGCUUUUAACAAGAGUCACCUCAACAUUUUGUGGUGCAGCUUAAUGAAGAGAGUUUUUUUACUUUAAUAUUUACAACUGGCACAUCGAUAAAUCAUAAAUAGGAAAUUCUAAUUUGCCUCCAGUUAUUCAUGUGAGUUCCAUUAUAGCCACACUGCAGGCAAUGAUGCACUACAAAGAUUGUGCUGAUGCUGAUGCUAUAAACCAGAAGAACAAAGUUUAAAUGGUCUGUAAAUGUCAGCAGAAUCCCAAUAGUAAAUUAUGACCUUGCUACAAACUCUUGAGUACCUUUCCUUACAUUUUAUGCAUUCCACCUAAUGAAAGUGUAAUACCAUUUGAAUGACAAUAAACAAUAGGGGCUUGAUGUUGACCACCUUUAUGAAAUAGAAGUGACUGUUAGUUGUUUAUCAGCAAUCCAGCUGAAUUAUUUAGAGAAGUGAAUGCUCUUUAUCAGAUAGCUACAAUAUGCAGAAAAUAUCAUUGCAUGUAAUAUUGUUGCCUCGGUCCUUCAGGGAAUUAGAUAUUUUCAUGCUCAGAUUUAAUAUACACUUCUUGAAGAUAUAGGACAUUAAAUUACAGUUUCAUUCCUAACAGGAAAGAGACUUUUCAGCCUUCAUUAUUUAUCAUGCCUUAACACCUCUCAGGAGUGUUUGUAUCCAAGACUCCCUGAGAUAUAUACAUCUGCUAGCAGCUCUGUUGCCAGCGGACAAAACACUACCUGCACUCAUGACAAAAUUAUUUCAAUCACUCUUCACAGAUGACUGUUGAUGUCUAUUAUAUGUUAACUCUUUGCCUGUUUAGGAUUGGUAUGAUCCAUCAAAUCAUAGAUUUUGUGGAAGGCUAGAAAGCAAGGACACAAUGCUACACACUGGGCUGGAUCCAAAGAUGUCCUUCCAUAAACAGAUUAGGAUACAUUUUCAUUACAGUUUUCUCCCCAUAGUUGUAUUCCAAUAUUAUUCAAUAUUAUUACUAUGCAGAAAGGGGAGACUAUCUAAACAUUAUCCUUUCAUCACAAGUAAUUUUUUCAAGAGGAGGAUCAUAUCUAUGGAUGCAUCUAUACUGUAGAAUUAGUGCAAUUUGGCACCACUUUAACUACCAUGGCCCAAUGCUAUGGAAUCCUAGGAGUUGUAGUUUGGUAAAACACCAGUACUCUGGCAGAGGAGAAUUUGCAAAACUAGAAUUCCUAGGGUUCUAUAGCAUUGAUCCAUGGCAGUUAAAUUAGAAUCAAACUUCAUUAAUUCCACAAUGUAAAUAUAACCCUAUGUAUGGAGGUUCUCCACAAAAUCCAGAAUACCUGAUCUUCUAUUGUUUGGAUUUCUCCAUGAAGAUAAAAUUACUCAGUACGUAAUGCACAAAAAUGGGGGCAGCCUUGGGACACUUUUACACUACACAGUUAUCGUAGUAUGAUUCCUCCUUAACGUUGAUACCUGCAUUAUUUGGAAUCCUGGGAUGUGCAGUUUAUGGAGAGGCAUUUAGAAACCUCAGGCAAAAGCAUUCUCUAUUUCCAAACUAAAACCAGAAUUCCAAAGGACUCAGCCAUGGCAGAUAAGAUGGAAUCAUAGUACUAUAACUUUGUGGUGUGGUUUCACAUUUAAGAAGUAUUAUACUAGUAGGAAUGGAAUGCCUAGAUAUGUCUUUGUCCAUUCUCUUUUUGUUUUCAUCCAAGGAUUUUGUUCACAGUAGACUGAGAAUUAAGAAAAGAAAUACUAUUUCAGACAGCACAUAACUGCAUUAUGUAAAUCACCUCUUUAAGCUGCAGGAUUGUACAGGUAGUUAAUACUAGAUGUUGUAAGCUAUAUUUCAGAUGAAGGAAUUGGGAAAACCACCUUAGAGCAUUCCUUGCCUAAGAAAACUCUAUGAAAUUAAUGGGGAUGCAAGUUGACAUAUGACUUCAAUGUAUAAACAUACACACACACACACACACACACACACACACACAAAGUUAAUCUAUCUAUCUUCAUCAUCUAUCUAUCAUUAUCUCUCUACCUAUCUAUCUGUGGCUAUUAGCUGUGAGACCUGCUUCUGUUCCUUCCCACUUUAUCCUCACAUCAACUAAGUGAAAUAGGUCAGG